rnacentral:misc_RNA from 1 species
UGGCUCCGGCAACGAUGAAGAACGCAGCGAACUGCGAUAAGUAAUGCGAAUCGCAGAGCCUUAGUGAGUCAUCGAAUUUUUGAACGCACAUUGCGCCCGCCAGUAUUCUGGCAGGCAUGCCUGUCCGAGCGUCGUUUACACAACCUUCAGGGGUCUUUUCUUUAGUGAUUAGGCGGUAAUCCUGGUGUUGGGGAAGCUCUCUAAACUUUCCUGGUCUUGCUGCCAGGGUUGAGCGCCUCUAAAACGAGUGAGCGGUUCUAUGGGGAGAAUUACUCAAGCGUAGUAAAAGACUUACAAAUCGCUUGGGAAUCAAACCUAUUAAGGAUCAGCCGUUAAAACACAUCAGAACUCACUGUUAUGGUGAGGGACGAAGACAGAUUGUCGACCUCGGAUCAGGUAGGAAUACCCGCUGA